GAGUUUGAUCCUGGCUCAGGACGAAUGCUGGCGGCGCGCUUAACACAUGCUAGUCUGAGCGAGAACCGAGGCUUCCGCCUCGGCCACCGCGGCGAACGGCUGACUAACACGUGGAUAACCUGCCCUCGGCACCGGGAUAGCCCGGGGAAACUCGGAUUAAUACCGGAUAGCCCUUUCGGCUUUCGAGCCGGUCGGAAAAGGUAGAUUCGGCCUCUGGCCGAGGAUGGGUCCGCGGCGGAUUAGCUUGUUGGUGGAUUAACGGCCUACCAAGGCUCCGAUCCGUACCUGGUCUGACAGGACGAUCAGCCACACUGGGACUGACACUGGGCCCAGACUCCUACGGUAGGCAUCAGGGGGGAGUCUUGCUGAAUGGGUCAAAGCCUGACUCAGAGACGCCGCGUGAGGGAGGAAGGCCUUCGGCUUGUAAACCUCUUUCAGGAGGGACGAAGCUACUCGGGUGAAUAGCCCAGAGGGUGACGGUACCUCCAGAACAAGCCCCGGCUAACUACGUGCCAGCUGCCGCGGUAAUACGUAGGGAGGAAGCGUUGUCCGGAUUUACUGGGGGUAAAGCGCGUGUGGCGGCCACGCAGGUCCGUUGUGAAAACUGGAGGCUUAACCUCCUGACGUCGACGGACCCGUGUGGCUAGAGUCCGGAAGAGGAGAGUGGAAUUCUUGGUGUAGCGGUGCUUGCUGAGAUAUCUAGAAGAACACCAGUGUCGAAAGCUCCUCUCUGUAACGGUACUGACGCUGAGACUCGAAUACGUGGGGAGCGAACAGGAUUAGAUACCCUGGUAGUCCACGCCGUAAACGAUGGGUGCUAGGUGUGGGAGGUGUCGACUCCUUCCGUGCCGUAGCUAACGCAUUAAGCACCCCGCCUGGGGAGUACGGCCGCAAGGCUAAAACUCAAAGGAAUUGACGGGGCCCCGCACAAGCAGCGGAGCAUGUGGUUUAAUUCGAUGCAACGCGAAGAACCUUACCAGGGCUUGACAUGCACUGGAAAACCGUAGAAAUACGGUCCUCCUUCGGGACCAGUGCACAGGUGGUGCAUGGCUGUCGUCAGCUCGUGUCGUGAGAUGUUGGGUUAAGUCCCGCAACGAGCGCAACCCUUGUCUCAUGUUGCCAGCGGGUAAAGCCGGGGACUCGUGAGAGACUGCCGGGGUCAACUCGGAGGAAGGUGGGGAUGACGUCAAGUCAUCAUGCCCCUUAUGUCCAGGGCUUCACACAUGCUACAAUGGCCGGUACAAAGGGCUGCGAUGCCGUGAGGUGGAGCGAAUCCUUUCAAAGCCGGUCUCAGUUCGGAUCGGGGUCUGCAACUCGACCCCGUGAAGUCGGAGUCGCUAGUAAUCGCAGAUCAGCAACGCUGCGGUGAAUACGUUCCCGGGCCUUGUACACACCGCCCGUCACGUCAUGAAAGUCGGUAACACCCGAAGCCAGUGGCCUAACCCCUUGUGGGAGGGAGCUGUCGAAGGUGGGAUCGGCGAUUGGGACGAAGUCGUAACAAGGUAGCCGUACCGGAAGGUGCGGCUGGAUCACCUCCUUUCU
rnacentral:rRNA from 1 species